GUCAACUAGUUGUCGGAUCUAAUUAAGGAUUGGUAACGUAGCUAACGCGUGAAGUUGACCGCCUGGGGAGUACGGUCGCAAGAUUAAAACUCAAAGGAAUUGACGGGGACCCGCACAAGCGGUGGAUUAUGUGGAUUAAUUCGAUGCAACGCGAAAAACCUUACCUACCCUUGACAUGCUUGGAAUCUAAUGGAGACAUAAGAGUGCCCGAAAGGGAGCUAAGACACAGGUGCUGCAUGGCUGUCGUCAGCUCGUGUCGUGAGAUGUUGGGUUAAGUCCCGCAACGAGCGCAACCCUUGUCACUAAUUGCUAUCAUUUUUAAUGAGCACUUUAGUGAGACUGCCGGUGACAAACCGGAGGAAGGUGGGGAUGACGUCAAGUCCUCAUGGCCCUUAUGGGUAGGGCUUCACACGUAAUACAAUGGCGUGUACAGAGGGUUGCCAACCCGCGAGGGGGAGCCAAUCUCAGAAAGCACGUCGUAGUCCGGAUCGGAGUCUGC
rnacentral:rRNA from 1 species